AUUGAACGCUGGCGGCAGGCCUAACACAUGCAAGUCGAACGAGUGGCGGACGGGUGAGUAAUGUCUGGGAAACUGCCUGAUGGAGGGGGAUAACUACUGGAAACGGUAGCUAAUACCGCAUACCAUCGGAUGUGCCCAGAUGGGUUUCGCUAGUAGGUGGGGUAACGGCUCACCUAGGCGACGAUCCCUAGCUGGUCUGAGAGGAUGACCAGCAACACUGGAACGGAGACACGGUCCAGACUCCUACGGGAGGCAGCAGUGGGGAAUAUUGCACAAUGGGCGCAAGCCUGAUGCAGACAUGCCGCGUGUAUGAAGAAGGCCUUCGGGUUGUAAAGUACUUUCAGCAGGGAGGCGUUACCCGCAGAAGAAGCACCGGCUAACUCCGUGCCAGCAGCCGCGGUAAUUC
rnacentral:rRNA from 1 species